GGGAACACGAAUACAUUGGCGGGUAAUGUACCACCGAAGGCGAAUCUCGGUGAUUUGAGGGGUUUAGCCGGCGGAUUAAACGGUUUAAACAGCUCAGCUAUGAUUGAUGGAGGAGAUUUCGACGGUGCAAAGGCUUACAAAGACAGUAAAGUCUGCAAUAUGUUGACAAUGCAAGAGUUUCACAGGCGUUUCCAUGAAGAAACUGGAGUCACUUUCGCUUCGCUUUACCCCGGUUGCAUCGCCUCCACAGGUUUAUUCCGAGAGCACAUUCCUCUCUUCCGUGCCCUCUUCCCUCCCUUUCAGAAGUACAUCACUAAAGGAUAUGUCUCCGAAACAGAGUCAGGCAAAAGACUUGCUCAGGU
rnacentral:sRNA from 1 species